UUAUACGCCCGUCUAUGACGGGACGUAUUAUGGUAUACCCCGCGUCCGUCCGUCCGUCCGUCUGUUAAUGUCGUACGCUACGUCAAAUAUCCUUUGACAGAUUUUCUUCAAAUUUUAACACAAUCUUAAUAUUGAUAAACCCUGAUCCCCUUUCGUUUUUGACGGAAUUCUGAAUUGUCGUUCCAGAGUUAUGGGACUUUGUUCGUCAAAAUUUCGUGAUUUCAUUGAAUGUCCUACUGUAGCUAUAUAAAAAUGUUAAAGUUGUUAUAACUUUGGUAUGCUUGGACCUAGAGUCUUGAAACUUGACAUGAAGGUUGGCCAGAACUAGUAAGUAACCACUGGACAUUUCAAGGUCAUUCAUUUGAAGGUCAAGGUCACUGUGACCUUGAAUGUAAAAAUGUUAAAGUUGUUAUAACUUUGGUAUGCUUGGACCUAGAGUCUUGAAACUUGACAUGAAGGUUGGCCAGAACUAGUAAGUAACCCCUGGACAUUUCAAGGUCAUUCAUUUGAAGGUCAAGGUCACUGUGACCUUGAAUGUAAAAAUGUUAAAGUUCUUAUUUCAUGUUAUAACUUUGGUAUGCUUGUACCUAGAGUCUUCAAACUUGAAAUAAAGAUUGGCCAGUACUAGAAGAUGACCACUGGUCAUUUCAAUGUCAUUCAUUUGAAGGUCAAGGUCACUGUGACCUUAAAUGUUAAAAUGUUAAAAUUGUUAUAACUUUGGUAUGCUUGGACAUAGAGUCUUCAAACUUGACAUGAAGGUUUGCAAGCACACUUAGAUGACCACUGGUCAUUUCAAGGUCAUUCAUUCUCAGGUCAAGGUCACUGUGACCUUAAAUGUUAUUGUUGUUCAUGUAUCCUACCGUAGCUCAAAUAUCCCCCGAUGGAUUUUUUAUACGCCCGUCUAUGACGGGACGUAUUAUGGUAUACCCCGCGUCCGUCUGUCCGUCCGUCCGUCCGUCCGUCCGUCCGUCCGUCUGUUAAUGUCGUACGCUACGUCAAAUAUCCUUUGACAGAUUUUCUUCAAAUUUUAACACAAUCUUAAUAUUGAUAAACCCUGAUCCCCUUUCGUUUUUGACGGAAUUCUGAAUUGUCGUUCCAGAGUUAUGGGACUUUGUUCGUCAAAAUUUCGUGAUUUCAUUGAAUGUCCUACUGUAGCUCAAAUAUCCUUCGAUGGAUUUUUUUCAAAUUUCAACACAAUCUUAAUAUUGAUAAACCCUGAUCCCCUUUCGUUUUUGACGGAAUUCUGAAUUGUCGUUCCAGAGUUAUGGGACUUUGUUCGUCAAAAUUUCGUGAUUUCCAUGCUCAUGUACUUAUAAAAUAAACCAUGUAUUCAAAUACAAAUAAACUGAAGUAAAAAAAUGA